ACGUUCAGUUAGAGCGCCAAGAUCGUGAAGCCCAGCUGCAGGAAGCUGAAUAUGUUCGAGUGUAGCUCUUCCAGGCACUUCUGAAGCUGGAGAUGAACUUGGACCUCAGGCUCAGCUCAGGGAGCUGAGAAUUAUGGCAGCCAAGGAAAUUGAAGUUGGUGGUGGUCAGAAAGCUAUCAUCAUCUUUGUUCCUGUUCCUCAACUGAAUCUUUCCAGAAAAUCCACAUCUGGCUAGUACAUGAAUUGGAGAAAAAGUUCAGUGGGGAAGAAUGUUGUUUUCACUGUUCAGGGGAGAAUUCUGCCUAAGGCAACUCAAGCCAUACAAAAAAUAAGCAAAAGUGUCCCAGGAGCCGUACUCUGACAGCCAUGCAUGGUGCCAUCCUUGAGGACUUGGUUUUCCCAAGUGAAAUUGUGCACAAGAGACUCUGCAUGAAACUGGAUGGCAGCCGGCUCAUGAAGGUUCAUUCAGACAAAGCACAGCAGAACAACGUGGAACACAGGGUUGAGACUUUUUCUGGUGUCUAUAAGAAGCUCACUGGCAAGGAUGUUAAUUUUGAAUUCCAAGGGUUUCAGUUGUAA
rnacentral:lncRNA from 1 species